rnacentral:rRNA from 1 species
UACGGAGGGUGCGAGCGUUGUCCGGAAUCACUGGGCGUAAAGGGCGCGUAGGCGGCCUGAUAAGUCGGGGGUGAAAGCCUGUGGCUCAACCACAGAAUUGCCUUCGAUACUGUUAGGCUUGAGACCGGAAGAGGUAAGUGGAACUGCGAGUGUAGAGGUGAAAUUCGUAGAUAUUCGCAAGAACACCAGUGGCGAAGGCGGCUUACUGGUCCGGUUCUGACGCUGAGGCGCGAAAGCGUGGGGAGCAAACAGG